CUCAUUGGGAUGUAAACUCCUUUCGACCAAGAGGAUAAUGACGGUAUUGGUGGAAGAAGCACCGGCUAACUCUGUGCCAGCAGCCGCGGUAAUACAGAGGGUGCGAGCGUUGUUCGGAAUUAUUGGGCGUAAAGGGUUCGUAGGCGGUGUAGCAAGUCGGGAGUGAAAUCUCUGGGCUCAACCCAGAGACUGCUUCCGAAACUGCUGUGCUUGAGUGUGGGAGAGGCGCGUGGAAUUGCAGGUGUAGCGGUGAAAUGCGUAGAUAUCUGCAGGAACACCCGUGGCGAAAGCGGCGCGCUGGACCACUACUGACGCUGAGGAACGAAAGCUAGGGGAGCAAACAGGAUUAGAUACCCUGGUAGUCCUAGCCCUAAACGAUCAGGACUUGGGGUGCCGCACGUUCGUGCGUCGUCCCGGAGCUAACGCGUUAAGUCCUGCACCUGGGGAGUACGGUCGCAAGACUGAAACUCAAAGGAAUUGACG
rnacentral:rRNA from 1 species